rnacentral:rRNA from 1 species
UACAUGGGGUGCAAACGUUGCUCGGAAUUAUUGGGCGUAAAGCGCGCGUAGGCGGUUACUUAAGUCGGAUGUGAAAGCCCUCGGCUUAACUGAGGAAGUGCACCCGAAACUGAGUAGCUAGAGUACGAAAGAGGGUCGCGGAAUUCCCGGUGUAGAGGUGAAAUUCGUAGAUAUCGGGAGGAACACCAGUGGCGAAGGCGACUUCCUGGCCUGUUCUUGACGCUGAGGCGCGAAAGCUAGGGGAGCAAACGGG